AGAAUGGUUCUUUUCAGGCUAUGAUCCAGCAUUUGUUUCGAUAUACUUCCUCCCUUGACCACUGGGUGAAGUCUGGGAAGGAAAGCUGUAAACUUUCGUCUGCUUUGAUGGUUGAACAACUACGUUUUUGGAGGGUCUGCAUUAGUUUUGGGCUCUGUAUGUCAUAUUUUUCAGAUAUCUUCCCUGCCUUGUGCUUGUGGCUGCAUCCACCUACAUUCAGUAAACUUCAGGAGAACAAUGUUCUUAGUGAAUUUGUUUCUAUCUCUCGGGAGGCAUAUCUUGUUUUGGAGGCUUUGGCUAGGAAA
rnacentral:misc_RNA from 1 species